GUUCCGUUAAGUAUUAUAGUACCUGCUUGUGUUUGAUGAUCUGAGAAAUCGCACUCGCCUUAUUUGUACAUGGAAUAUUCGUCAGCCCGAUUAGACCUCCCUAAAGAUAAAAAAAUGUUUUAAAAAAAAGAGCCGAUACUGGGGACGGGUGCAGCCACUGUUGUAGGUGGGAAGUUGAGAAGGUAGGAUACAUAAGGUUAUUUCAUUUACAUCUGUAAGCAACGAUAAACCAUUGCUUGACGAAAGACGAUUCCGA